rnacentral:tRNA from 1 species
GAGGGUAGAUCUCAGUGGUAGAGGGCAUGCUUAGCGUGCACGAGGUCUUGGGUUCAAUCCCUAGUACCUCCA